GCGAGGUGACGAUAAAAUUCAAUGGUCUGUCAAUCCACUGACAAAUUUUGAUUGAUGUUAAACAUUGAAUCCCGACAGGUUCCGAUCGCUUUUUUCUUUUUUCUUUUUUAAUUAAAUUUUCGUGAAUUUUUUUUUAAUUUUAAUUAACAAAUGGCAUAUGAUGAAUCUAUAUAAACAAAUGGGUAAUUUGCGUCUGAAUGCAUUUCCUUGAUGCUACAUCACCUUGGAGAACUGAUGCCAAAAAUAUUAUUUUUGCUAUUUUUCAAUUAAGGUUUUGUGACAUUUUCAUUAAGUUUUUGAUGUUCUAUCAAGCUUGUUAAAAGUGGUUAAUUUUUAUUUUUAGUGUAUUUAAUUUAAUUUUUAGGUUUAACCUUGUGAUGUACACAGAUUUUUGAAGUUCACUUGGCAUAUGAUGAAUCUCUAUUAACAAAGUCUGAUUUUUUUCUUUGAUGCUAAAUCACCUUGGAGAACUGAUGCCAAAA
rnacentral:lncRNA from 1 species